rnacentral:rRNA from 1 species
UACGGAGGGUGCGAGCGUUGUCCGGAAUCACUGGGCGUAAAGGGCGCGUAGGUGGCGCUGCAAGUCAACGGUGAAAGCUCGAACGCUUAACGUCGAGUCGGCCGUCGAAAACUGCAGCGCUCGAGCACUGUAGAGGCUCAUGGAAUUCCGGGUGUAGCGGUGGAAAUUGCGUAGAGGAUCCGGAAAGAACACCGGUGGCGAAGGACGGUCGGAGCAUGGGACCAGGUUGCUAGGCGAACUGGAUG